rnacentral:rRNA from 1 species
AUUGAACGCUGGCGGCAUGCUUUACACAUGCAAGUCGAGCGGCAGCGCGUGCUUCGGGCUGGCGGCGGGUGGCGAACGGGUGAGUAAUACAUCUGAACGUGGCCACAAGUGGGGGAUAGCUCGGCGAAAGCCGGAUUAAUACCGCAUAGGACCUGAGGGUGAAAGCGGGGGGUCUUCGGACCCCGCGCUAUUGGAGCGGCCGAUGGCAGCUUAGCUAGUUGGUGGGGUAAAGGCCUACCAAGGCGACGAUCAGUAGCUGGUCGGAGAGGACGACCAGCCACACUGCGACUGGGCCACGGCCCAGACUCCUACGGGAGGCAGCCGUGGGCAAUUUUGGACAGUGGGCGAAAGCAUGAUCCAGCAAUGCCGCGUGUGUGAUGAAGGCCUUCGGGUUGUAAAGCACUUUUGGCGGGAACGAAAAGGACUGUGCCAAUACCACGGUUCGAUGACGGUACCCGCAGAAUAAGCACCGGCUAACUACGUG